rnacentral:rRNA from 1 species
GAUGAACGCUAGCUACAGGCUUAACACAUGCAAGUCGAGGGGCAGCAUGAACUUAGCUUGCUAAGUUUGAUGGCGACCGGCGCACGGGUGAGUAACACGUAUGCAACCUACCUUUAACAGGGGGAUAACACUGAGAAAUUGGUACUAAUACCCCAUAAUAUCAUAGAAGGCAUCUUUUAUGGUUGAAAAUUCCGAUGGUUAGAGAUGGGCAUGCGUUGUAUUAGCUAGUUGGUGAGGUAACGGCUCACCAAGGCGACGAUACAUAGGGGGACUGAGAGGUUAACCCCCCACACUGGUACUGAGACACGGACCAGACUCCUACGGGAGGCAGCAGUGAGGCAUAUUGGUCAAUGGACGCAAGUCUGAACCAGCCAUGCCGCGUGCAGGAUGACGGCUCUAUGAGUUGUAAACUGCUUUUGUACUAGGGUAAACUCACCUACGUGUAGGUGACUGAAAGUAUAGUACGAAUAAGGAUCGGCUAACUCCGU